GAAGGAGGCAAUCGAUCGCUCAGCCAUUAUAGCCAAGUUCCUCUGCUUGCUUCACGUUACCAACAACUAUCUUUGUUCUCCCACUCUCGUGUAUGGCCCUAGCAUGCUCCCAACCUUGCAUCUGACCGGCGAUGUUCUUUUGGCCGAGCACGUGUCGCACCGAGUGGGCAGGGUUGGCCCUGGCGACGUUGUGCUGGUUCGCUCUCCUCUGAACCCGAGGAAGACGUUGACGAAGCGCAUUCUGGGCGUCGAGGGUGAUAAGGUCAAUUUCUU
rnacentral:misc_RNA from 1 species